GCUUGCAAACUGAAGAUGGCGACCGGCGCACGGGUGAGUAACACGUAUCCAACCUGCCGAUAACUCCGGAAUAGCCUUUCGAAAGAAAGAUUAAUACCGGAUGGCAUACGAAUAUCGCAUGAUAUUUUUAUUAAAGAAUUUCGGUUAUCGAUGGGGAUGCGUUCCAUUAGUUUGUUGGCGGGGUAACGGCCCACCAAGACUACGAUGGAUAGGGGUUCUGAGAGGAAGGUCCCCCACAUUGGAACUGAGACACGGUCCAAACUCCUACGGGAGGCAGCAGUGAGGAAUGUUGGUCAAUGGGCGAGAGCCUGAACCAGCCAAGUAGCGUGAAGGAUGAAGGCUCUAUGGGUCGUAAACUUCUUUUAUAUGGGAAUAAAGUUUUCCACGUGUGGAAUUUUGUAUGUACCAUAUGAAUAGGGAUCGGCUAACUCCGUGCCAGCAGCCGCGGUAAUACGGAGGAUCCGAGCGUUAUCCGGAUUUAUUGGGUUUAAAGGGAGCGUAGGUGGAUUGUUAAGUCAGUUGUGAAAGUUUGCGGCUCAACCGUAAAAUUGCAGUUGAAACUGGCAGUCUUGAGUACAGUAGAGGUGGGCGGAAUUCGUGGUGUAGCGGUGAAAUGCUUAGAUAUCACGAAGAACUCCGAUUGCGAAGGCAGC
rnacentral:rRNA from 1 species